CCAUGCAGUCGAACGGUGAACACGGAGCUUGCUCUGUGGGAUCAGUGGCGAACGGGUGAGUAACACGUGAGCAACCUGCCCCUGACUCUGGGAUAAGCGCUGGAAACGGCGUCUAAUACUGGAUAUGUGACGUGACCGCAUGGUCUGCGUUUGGAAAGAUUUUUCGGUUGGGGAUGGGCUCGCGGCCUAUCAGCUUGUUGGUGAGGUAAUGGCUCACCAAGGCGUCGACGGGUAGCCGGCCUGAGAGGGUGACCGGCCACACUGGGACUGAGACACGGCCCAGACUCCUACGGGAGGCAGCAGUGGGGAAUAUUGCACAAUGGGCGAAAGCCUGAUGCAGCAACGCCGCGUGAGGGAUGACGGCCUUCGGGUUGUAAACCUCUUUUAGCAGGGAAGAAGCGAAAGUGACGGUACCUGCAGAAAAAGCGCCGGCUAACUACGUGCCAGCAGCCGCGGUAAUACGUAGGGCGCAAGCGUUAUCCGGAAUUAUUGGGCGUAAAGAGCUCGUAGGCGGUUUGUCGCGUCUGCUGUGAAAUCCCGAGGCUCAACCUCGGGCCUGCAGUGGGUACGGGCAGACUAGAGUGCGGUAGGGGAGAUUGGAAUUCCUGGUGUAGCGGUGGAAUGCGCAGAUAUCAGGAGGAACACCGAUGGCGAAGGCAGAUCUCUGGGCCGUAACUGACGCUGAGGAGCGAAAGGGUGGGGAGCAAACAGGCUUAGAUACCCUGGUAGUCCACCCCGUAAACGUUGGGAACUAGUUGUGGGGUCCAUUCCACGGAUUCCGUGACGCAGCUAACGCAUUAAGUUCCCCGCCUGGGGAGUACGGCCGCAAGGCUAAAACUCAAAGGAAUUGACGGGGACCCGCACAAGCGGCGGAGCAUGC
rnacentral:rRNA from 1 species